GAAUAUCCUGAAUAUAAUGACUUUGACAGUUUUCCACUUGAUUAAUUCUGAUCAAAAACACUUUAUGCCACCAGAACAACUAUGACCUAUCAAGGUUUGGACUCCACAAUAUCUCUGCUGGUGUCUAAUAGUAUCAGGCAGAUCCUUUCAGUUCUGUCAGUUGUGAGGUGGGUCUUCCACUGAUUGUUGUUCCAGGGGUCAGCAUAAGAAGUCUGUCAUUUCAUAAGUUUUCACUUGUAUUAUUAUUUUGAAAGAGAUCUGGUUUCCUGUUUUGUUUUGGUUUUUGUCUCUGCCUGAAAUACAUGCAUGACAUUUUUAUUCUGCUUUUUCCACAUUUCAGCAAUCUCCUCACCAAACAGUGGCACAGAAAAGUCAAGUCCAGAUCGACUGCAGUCAUAAUGAUGGGAACCUUGCUCUAAUGCUCUGACCUUUGCUGAACAAAGCCGUGUUUAACCUACAACAGCACAAACUUGGAGGAUGUCAGCUGUGAUCGGGUUUCUUCUCGUCUUCCUUUCAAGUCAAGCUACCAGUGUGACCUUUCAACCAUCUCAUCCAAGAAUAGUCACUGAAACAACCAAUGUUGAAAUUACAUGCAGUCAUGAUAAAAAUGACUUCUAUCUAAUGCUUUGGUACCAGCAAAAAGAAAAUGGUUUAAUGAGCCUCAUAGGAUACAGCUACACAGGCAGUGUCCCUGUCAAGGAGGAACAAUUUGACAAUCGGUUUGAGAUUACAAGAAAAAACAUGCAAACAGGAGCUCUGAGCAUCAGCAGUGUGAUUGUAUCAGACUCAGCCAUGUACUUCUGUGCUGCCAGCACACAGUGAUGUGUUUUGGUGUAAUGCCAAUGCUAAAAACCUUCUUCUUUCUGAACCAGGCUGCUGGAAUGUGCCUCAAAAAUGUCUUUUUAGGCAAACUUUCAGUGGUUCAAACUCACAGUGUCUUUACUCCACAUACACACCAGUGAGCCUGGGGUGCCCACUUCCUUAAACCAGUUUUUGAGACCCUCUGAGUUCAUGUCAAAGUUUUUUAAUAACGUUUUUACACUUGCCAAGUACUUCUUUUUUACAACACAUCAACUUCACUUGCUGACAUAUAAUCUUAUUAUAUUUGCAGGCUACAUGCUGUAAA